ACCGAACCUGCAGUAUCUCCAAGUGUGAAUCAUCGAGCUCAGAGGAAGGAGAGAACUAUUGGAUGGUGGUAUCCAUAUGAUACGUGGAGCAUCAGCCACAUGCGGACUUUGUGCAGGAGUUGGAGAUAAAGAAACAAAAUGCAGCCUCCGCUUUUAAGGAAUUCCUAGUGUAGUGAACAAGAGACUUAACUCAUGGUUAACUGUCUCACUGAAGCUAUCUCUGAGAGCCUCAGCUGGAAUUACUAUCUGCCAUUCUCUAAAACAGUGGUUCUCAGUGUAGUUACCAGACCAACAACAGCGACAAUACCUGGGCUCUUACUGGAGAUACACAUUCUCCUCCACAACCUACUGAUUAAGGAACUCUGGAGAACUCCAGAUUUCUGUUCUACCUGUAUUCAACUUGGUUGUCUAAGGUCCUGCUACUCAAAGCAUGAGUCUGGGAAGGCCAAGGGAGCUGGAGCCAACAGAAGGAAAGAACCAUCUGAAGACCUCCAUCAAACCUUUCUCUGAGUGUUGAUCAGUGCCUGCAUGAGGAACUACUGAGACUGGGGAAAAAAAACAUACAAAAUGAUUAGAGAGAAAUGCUCAGAACUGACAAAGGGCCUUGGAGGAAAUGGAAAAGUAUUUGUCAAAGGGUGUAGACUUCCAGUUAUAAGAUCCACAAGUUCUGGGGAUGUAGUGUAUAGCAUGGUAUAUAGCUAAUAGUACUGUGUUCUAUACUUGAAAGUUCCUAAGAGAGUAGAUCCUAAAUAUUCUCACCAUAAAGGACAAAUGGUAAUUAGAAAUUAGCAUGAUGCUUACAGAAAAAAUUGAAAAGUUGAUUGUCUUCAAAAUUAAGACAAUCUGCAAAAUUCAAAUGAACCAUAGACUGGGAGAAAAUAUCAGCAAGUCACAUAUAGAAUGAAAGACUUCUAUCCAUAAUAUAUAAAAAUUCUCAAAAUUCAGCGGUAAGAAAAGGAACAACUUUUUUUUUUUUAAUGGGAAAGAUGCAUAGACACUUUACAAAAAAAUAUAUGGAUAGCAAAUAAGCAUGUAAAAAGAUGCUCAACACUAUGAGCUAUUUGAGAAGUGCCAAUUAAAACCACAAUGAGGGGCAUCUGGGUGGCUCAGUUGGUUAAGUAUCCAACUCUUGGUUUUGGCUCAAGUCAUGAUCUCUUGGGUCAUGAUCACAUGGGUCGUGAGCUGGAGCCCCACCUCAGGCUCUGUGCUCAGCAGGGAGUCUGCUUGAGAUUCUCUCCUUUUGCUCCUCCUCCCACUCAUGUGUGCACUCUCUGUCUUCUAAAUAAAUCGAUAAAUCUUAAAAAAAGAAACCCACAAUGAGAUACCACUACAAACCUAUUAGAAUGUCCAGAAUGAGGGAGAAUGAAGAUAUCGAGUUUUGGUAAGAUGUGAAUCAAAUGGAACUUUUAUACACAGCGUAAAAUGGUACAACCAGUUUGGAAAACAGUUUGACAGUACACCUACCAAAUGACCUUGGCAUUCCACUCCCAGGUACUUACCCAAGGGCAGUGAAAACAUGUUUAUAUGAAGUCUAGGACAUCAACGUUCAUAGCAGCUUUAUUUAUAAUAGCUCCAAACCUGGAACAACCUAUCUGCUUAUCAAGAGGGGAAUGGAUAAACAAAAUGUUGUACAGAGAUUCAGUAGUACUCCCCUUAUCAAAGGCUUCAUUUUCUGCGGUUUCAGUUACUGUGGUCAACCAUGGUCCAGAAGUCCAUCUGACGUAUCAUCAGAGGAUGGGUAGAUAGCCUAAAGCUAUCACAAUGCCUACAUCACUCACCUCACUUCUACUCAUCAUGUAGACAUUUUAUCAUCUCACAUCAUCACAAGUAGGGUGAGGACAGUAUGAGAUAUGUUGAGAGAGAGAAAGA